UACGGAGGGUGCGAGCGUUGUCCGGAAUCAUUGGGCGUAAAGGGCGCGUAGGCGGCCGUCCCAAGCGUGCGGUGAAAGUCAGGGGCUCAACCCCUGAUCGGCCGUGCGAACUGGGGGGCUCGAGCACUGUAGAGGCAGGCGGAAUUCCGGGUGUAGCGGUGGAAUGCGUAGAGAUCCGGAAGAACACCGGUGGCGAAGGCAGCUUGCCAAGCAGUAACUGACGCUGAGGCACGAAAGUGCGGGGAUCAAACAGG
rnacentral:rRNA from 1 species